AAAAUCCGUCGACUUUAAAAAUCGUGAGGGUUCAAGUCCCUCUAUCCCCAAAAAAAGACCCAUUUGACUCCCAA
rnacentral:tRNA from 1 species